rnacentral:tRNA from 1 species
GAGGGUAUAGCUCAGCGGUAGAGUGCAUGCUUAACAUGCAUGAGGUCCUGGGUUCAAUCUCCAGUACCUCCA